UGCCUCAGUAACGGCGAGUGAAGCGGCAACAGCUCAAAUUUGAAAUCUGGCCUCGGCCCGAGUUGUAAUUUGCAGAGGAUGCUUCCGGCGACGUGCCUUCCGAGUCCCCUGGAACGGGGCGCCUGAGAGGGUGAGAGCCCCGUACGGCUGGACGCCGAGCCUGUGUGAAGCUCCUUCGACGAGUCGAGUAGUUUGGGAAUGCUGCUCUAAAUGGGAGGUAAAUUCCUUCUAAAGCUAAAUACCGGCCAGAGACCGAUAGCGCACAAGUAGAGUGAUCGAAAGAUGAAAAGCACUUUGGAAAGAGGGUUAAACAGUACGUGAAAUUGCUGAAAGGGAAGCGCUCGCGACCAGACUCGCGCCGGGCGGAUCAUCCAGCGUUCUCGCUGGUGCACUUCGCCCGGCCCGGGCCAGCAUCGGUUCUAGCGGGGGGACAAAAGCCCGGGAAACGUAGCUCCCUCCGGGGAGUGUUAUAGUCCCUCGCCUAAUAUCCCCGCCGGGACCGAGGACCGCGCCUCGUGCAAGGAUGCUGGCGUAAUGGUCGCCAGCGACCCGUCUUGAAACACGGACCAAGGAGUCGAACAUUCGUGCGAGUGUUUGGGUGGAAACCCCUCACGCGUAAUGAAAGUGAACGGAGGUGGGAGCUUCGGCGCACCAUCGACCGAUCCUGAAGCUUGUCGGAUGGAUUUGAGUGGGAGCAUGACUGUUCGGACCCGAAAGAUGGUGAACUAUGCCUGCGUAGGGUGAAGCCAGAGGAAACUCUGGUGGAGGCUCGCAGCGGUUCUGACGUGCAAAUCGAUCGUCAAACGUGGGCAUGGGGGCGAAAGACUAAUCGAACCAUCUAGUAGCUGGUUUC
rnacentral:rRNA from 2 species